GACGAACGCUGGCGGCGUGCUUAACACAUGCAAGUCGAACGGUAAGGCCCUUCGGGGGUAUACGAGUGGCGAACGGGUGAGUAACACGUGGGUGAUCUGGCCUGCACUCGGGGAUAAGCCUGGGAAACUGGGUCUAAUCCCGGAUAGGACGACUGCCUGCAUGGGUGGUGGCGGAAAGCUUUUGAGGUGGGGGAUGGGCCCGCGGCCUAUCAGCUUGUUGGUGGGGUGAUGGCCUACCAAGGCGACGACGGGUAGCCGGCCUGAGAGGGUGACCGGCCACACUGGGACUGAGAUACGGCCCAGACUCCUACGGGAGGCAGCAGUGGGGAAUAUUGCACAAUGGGCGCAAGCCUGAUGCAGCGACUCCGCGUGAGGGAUGACGGCCUUCGGGUUGUAAACCUCUUUUAGUAGGGAAGAAGCGAAAGUGACGGUACCUGCAAAAAAAGCACCGGCUAACUACGUGCCAGCCGCCGCGGUAA
rnacentral:rRNA from 1 species